ncrna:unclassified sequences chrB RNA
ACCGUGGGGACAAGCGAUCUCCUCAUGAGGCGACAUGCCAAAGCAUCGCGUCACGCAUUUUUGCGAGGCGCUUUCGCAUG